rnacentral:rRNA from 1 species
UACGGGGGGUGCAAGCGUUGUUCGGAAUUACUGGGCGUAAAGCGCGCGCAGGCGGCUAUCCAAGUCAGUGGUGAAAGCCCGGAGCUCAACUCCGGAACUGCCAUUGAAACUGUUUAGCUUGAGGAUGAGAGAGGUGAGUGGAAUUCCCAGUGUAGAGGUGAAAUUCGUAGAUAUCGAGAAGAACACCGGUGGCGAAGGCGGCCAACUGGACGGUGACUGACACUGAGACGCGAAAGCGUGGGGAGCAAACAGG